GGCCCGCACAAGCGGUGGAGUAUGUGGUUUAAUUCGAUGCAACGCGAAGAACCUUACCAGGGUUUAAAUGCAGAACGACAGGGGUGGAAACACCCCCUUCUUCGGACGGACUGCAAGGUGCUGCAUGGUUGUCGUCAGCUCGUGCUGUGAAGUGUCGGGUUAAGUCCCAUAACGAGCGCAACCCCAUUUCUAGUUGCCAGCGGUUCGGCCGGGACUCUAGAGAAACUGCCAGCGUAAGCUGUGAGGAAGUGGGAUGACGUCAAUCAUCACGGCCCUUACAUCCUGGGCCACACACGUGCUACAAUGGUAGGGGACAACAGGUUGCCAACCCCGCGAGGGUGAGCAAUCCCAAAACCCUAUCUCAGUUCGGA
rnacentral:rRNA from 1 species